rnacentral:lncRNA from 1 species
ACCAUCCAAGAAUUCACCCACUCUGCAAAAAGCAAGGGGAGGGAGAAGGGGGAGGAGAGGAAGAAAGAAAAAAAAAAAAAAAGAAAAGAAAAAAAUGCCCCUCUUCCUUCUCUUCUUCCAGCCCUGAUUAAAUUCACUUUUGUCAGAAAGCAACACACCUGUGGCCUCUCAGCUCCUACUCUGCUUGUCAUCUGAUUUCUGUUUCCUAAUCUCAGACACCUGUGCUGGUGUAAAUUAGCACUUCAUGGGAGCUCUCUGGCUUUCUGACACCUGUAUGGUCUGACAGGUACUCCAGCAGAGAAAGAGGAGCAGUAGCACUGCAUUUUCCCCUUUAUCUCUCUGUCUUGUAUAACUUCACAAUUGGUUUAAGCCAAUAUAAAUGAUGUGGCAGAAACACUGGGCUGGUGUGGGGAAUGUGUAUCCUGACCUGAAGAAGGGAACAUUGGACCUGGAUAAUUGAAGGGACUGAUAAAAUGUACUCACUGCUCUACAAUGAAAACAUUUGCUUGGCCCUCUCCUCAUGUUUUCUAACAGGUUGUAUCAACUGACUUCAGUUUUGUGUGCAACAAAGAGCUCCACAAACCCUACUACUGCAGUGAUACCACCAGAGGCGAGCCUUCUGCUUCCUGACGUGGCUCUCUUCCGCCAGCAGUUGGGUCUGCAGUGAGAGGGGCCCAUGGCAAGGCACCAAGACUCCCCCGGGUAAUAUGGCUGGUGGUGCCCCUGGGUCCCUGUGGGGUGCUGCAGGCCCAGACCCUUACAGGAGCACCCAGGCAGCAGCAGUCUUUUGUAGACUGAAUUAAAAGAGCCUAUUGUAAAUUGGCAUAAAUUCAUAUAAAGUAAUUCCUACACAGUGUGACCACUCUGUUGUGCCAGAUGGAUGGUCCAGGAUCUGUGGCGUAAUGGGGAAUUGGGACAUCGGUGUUCAAAGUACAGGGCUCUGCACGUAUGGCUGCAGGUAGGCCAAAAAGGAGUUUAUUACCUUUCCCCCACGGCACUGCAUUUUUCUCACUU